rnacentral:rRNA from 1 species
CAGUCGCCACGGUAAUACGAGGGGGGCAAGCGUUGUUCGGAAUUACUGGGCGUAAAGCGUGCGCAGGCGGUUCGUUAAGACAGAUGUGAAAUCCCCGGGCUUAACCUGGGAACUGCAUUUGUGACUGGCGAGCUAGAAUAUGGCAGAGGGGGGUAGAAUUCCACGUGUAGCAGUGAAAUGCGUAGUGAUGUGGAGGAAUACCGAUGGCGAAGGCAGCCCCCUGGGCCAAUACUGACGCUCAUGCACGGAAGCGUGGGGAGCAAACAGGAUUAGAUACCCGCGUAGUCCCUGUCUCUUAUAC